rnacentral:rRNA from 1 species
UACGUAGGGUGCAAGCGUUGUCCGGAAUUAUUGGGCGUAAAGAGCUCGUAGGCGGUUUGUUGCGUCGGAUGUGAAAUCCCUCGGCUCAACUGAGGAAGUGCAUCCGAAACUGGCAAGCUUGAGUACGAAAGAGGGUCGCGGAAUUCCCGGUGUAGAGGUGAAAUUCGUAGAUAUCGUAAGGAAGACCAGUGGCGAAGGCGGCUCACUGGACUGGUACUGACGCUGAGGCGCGAAAGCGUGGGGAGCAAACAGG